rnacentral:rRNA from 1 species
UUGGAGGGCAAGUCUGGUGCCAGCAGCCGCGGUAAUUCCAGCUCCAAUAGCGUAUAUUAAAGUUGUUGCAGUUAAAAAGCUCGUAGUUGAAUUUCGGGAUCAAUAUAUCGGUCGUGCCAUCGGUACGUACUGGUAUGAUUGGUUUCUCCUUUCUGACGAACCAUGAUGUCAUUAAUUUGGUGUUAUGGGAAGUUAGGACUGUUACUUUGAAAAAAUUAGAGUGUUUAAAGCAGGCUUUAGCUUGAAUACAUUAGCAUGGAAUAAUGAAAUAGGACGUUCGAACCUAUUUUGUUGGUUUCUAGGAUCAACGUAAUGAUUAAUAGGGAUAGUUGGGGGCAUUAGUAUUCAAUUGUCAGAGGUGAAAUUCUUGGAUUUAUUGAAGACUAACUACUGCGAAAGCAUUUGCCAAGGAUGUUUUCAUUAAUCAAGAACGAAAGUUAGGGGAUCGAAGACGAUCAGAUACCGUCGUAGUCUUAACCAUAAACUACGCCGACUAGGGAUCGGAUGAUGUUAAUUUUUUAAUGACUCAUUCGGCGCCUUACGGGAAAC